AGCGAACGUUUGCGGCGGGCCUAACACAUGCAAGUCGAACGCACUAGCAAUAGUGAGUGGCGCACGGGUGCGUAACACGUGGGUAAUCAACCCUUCAGCCUGGGAUAACGACUCGAAAGGGUCGCUAAUACCGGAUACGGCGCGGGAGGCUUCGGCUUCUCACGAGAAAGCCUCGCAAGGGGCACUGAAGGACGAGCCUGCGGCCCAUCAGCUAGUUGGUGAGGUAAGAGCUCACCAAGGCGAAGACGGGUAGCUGGUCUGAGAGGAUGAUCAGCCACACUGGAACUGAGACACGGUCCAGACUCCUACGGGAGGCAGCAGUGGGGAAUAUUGCGCAAUGGGCGAAAGCCUGACGCAGCCACGCCGCGUGAGCGAUGAAGGCCUUCGGGUCGUAAAGGCUCUGUGGGAGAGACGAAGAAAGACCCGUCGAAGAGCGGGCCGUUGACGGUAGUCUCCUUACGCAAGCACCGGCGUAACUACCGUGCC
rnacentral:rRNA from 1 species